rnacentral:snRNA from 1 species
AUAUUAUCCACCCUCACAUCUUC